AAUAUGUUUUCUGCAUGGCUGAAUAAAAAAAUACUAUUCGAAAAUACUUUCUGUUUGUGAAAUAUGCGUUAGUUUCAUCUCGGUAUUUUCAACUUCCGGUAUCGAGAAGCCAUUUUGAUCUAUUACGUCAUCUCCCAAAAUCGCGUCUCACUAGGAGGCAUCUCACAAAGGUCAAAGUGCAAGACUGGUAAAACUAUCGUAAGGCUGUGUGUUUUUCCCAACUUGGUUUUCAGUCCAUUUUAUCGAGUAUUUUCCCGUCGUAUUUGCUUGAAAUGAUUUGCUUUGACAUUUAAGACUAAUUUACAUCAUGUUCCCUUCAUAUGUCGUCCAGUUUACAAUAAUUUUCAUAAAAUUUGGUCUUUUCUGAAGCCAGACGACAUAUUGAUUUUCCGACGCAGUUGAUCGCAUACAUGCGCAUCACCCAAUAGAAAAGUCACUGUGGCCUUUUUCCGAUAACGGAAGUUUAAAAGCGAAACCGGAAGUUACGGACAUGUUCCGAAGGAAUUAUCAGUAAACCAUGCUGUAAAAUGUUGUCAGACAUAAAAUAACUGUCAAUGCUCAUACUUCAGCACACAAGUAGUUACCAAUUUCAGUUAUCAGUGGAUUUGGUUGUGCCUUGAUUUUUAAAUUGAGCAGUGCCAGGCUUCUCUGAGUGGUUUAACGUCAAAUACGAUGAGGAAGAAGGGAUAUAUACGUGCAAACUUGCUGAAGAAUAUAUGGAUGGAGAUGUCGAAAUAAUACAAGAAAAUGAGCAGUGAUGUUUGAUACCUGUUUAGAUGACCACCAGCAACUGUUUAGAUGACCACCAGCACUGACCUUCAAGAGCCAUUGUCUAUGCACUAUGAUUGAACUGUUCAUCUGUUAUUCUAUCUUUGGUACAUGUAUAUGAACUCAUCAAAGUUGCAAACCAAAUCAAGUAAAGUUUGGUCAAAAUCACCAACACUUAAAGGACAUGAUCAUCAACACUUAAAGGACAUGUACAUACUUUCUGGACUAACAUGUCCAAUGUAUUUUUGUUGUGAUAUUAUAUGGAUAAUGUGUGUUUUUUAGCUCAACUGUACGAAGUAUGAAGAGCUGUCCUACUCGAAUCCACAUCAGUGUCCUUUUGCAUCCUCACUUUGGUUAAAGUUUUGAUGCACUUUCACUUUAUUGCUGUAAUAACUUGAUAGAUUUCUUUCUGGCUCAAGGUCAAGGUCACAACUGAGGGUCAAAGGUUUGAGCCUUCCAUUUUUUGUCUGCUCUUUAUCUCGUAAUCCCCUUGAAGGAUUCAUAAGAAAGUUGGCUCAAAUGAUCACCUCAUCAAGACAAUGUGCAGAACUCAUGAAUCUGCCAUGCUGGCUCAAGGUCAAGAUCAAUACUUAGGGUCAAAGGUUUGAGCCUUCCAUUUUGUGUCCACUCUGUAUCUCCUUAACCCCAUGGAGGAUUUUCAUCAAACUUUGGUCAAAUGAUCAACUCAUCAAGAACUCAUGAGUUAGCCAUGUCACCUCAAGGUCAAGGUCACAGCACAAGGUCAAAGGUUUGAGCUCUGUAUCUCCUAAACCCCUUGAAGGAUUUUCAUGAAACUUGGGUCAAAUGAUCACCUCAUCAAGACAUUGUUCAGAAUUUAUGAGUCAGUCAUGUCAGUUCAAGUUCAAGGUCACAGCUAAAGGUCAAAGGUUUUCCCUUUCACUGUCCAUAACAGUAGCGGGGAAUUUAGCUGUCUUUCAGACUGCCUUAUUUUAUGAAUUAUGCCCCCUUCUUACUUAAAUUUAAGCUUAUUUUUUUUGGCAUUUUCACUAUAUCUCUGUUAUAACUGAGAGGAUUUAAUUCAAACUUCAAACAGUUAUUCAAUUCGAUCUCUCACUUCAUAUUACAGGGUUCCCACGGUCAGGGAAAAGUCAGGGAAAAACAUAUUUUCAGGGAAUUUUGUAAUUGGUCAGGGAAAUUUGGAAAUUGAGCAAAAGUCAGGGAAAAGUCAGGGAAAUUUGGAAUUAGAGGUCGAGGGUUUAGGAAUCAGUUUGUAAAAAAGUAAAAAGAAUGUAAUAAAAGGCUAUGGCAGUUUCUUAAAUUUUGGUGUAAACCUCGACUUUUACAAAUAUUUCAGUUAGCACAAUAAUAUAUUCUGUAUUUCAUAUCCAAAAAUUAUAGUCUAUCUAUCAUUAAGUCUGUUUAACAAAAGUAGUGUAGAAUUUUAACAGAAAAAUUAAGAUUGUAGAACAUAAUUGUGUUAAGCAAGCUUAUAUCUCUUCUGUUUGCUUCGAACAGUGUCAUGUUUUAUAAUUGCUAUGAAAUGUGUAGUCCUGCAUAGUCAGUGUUGCCUGGUUAAGUUUUAUGUUUAGGUCAGCUUUUCUCCUAAAGUUUAGGCUAAACUGUCAAAGCUAUUGCUUUAAAACUUGCAACACUUGUUCACCAUCAAUUGUUGACUCUGUACAGGAAGAAACAUAACUCCAUCCUGCUUUUUGCAAGAAUUAUGGCCCCUUUUGGAGUUAGAAAAUAUCAGAUUUCUUGGUGAAGUUUUGUGUUUAGAUCAACACUUCUCCUUAACGGUCAAAGCUAUUGCUUUAAAACUUGGAGCAUUUAGUCAUCAUUUUAAAAGUUGAGUCUGCACAGCAAGAACUGUAACUCUACAUUGCUUUUUGCAAGAAUUAUGGCCCCUGUUGGACUUAGAAAAUCAUGGGUAGGACAAUAUUUCUAAUAUACAGUGACAAAAAAAUCAGAUGAGCGUCUGCACCCCUAAGGGGGUGCUCUUGUUAAUCCUAUUAAAUGAUAUGUUUACAUAUUGCAGUUGCAGCAGUUUAGUUAAUUUCAAAUUUUAUUUUUGGUGAAAAUGUUAUUUAUUCUAUACACUAAGUUCCGAAAUUUUUAACUUUUGAAAAUAAACUGGCAUGUCUAAUUGAUUUCAUGUCUGAUCUUAUAUUAUUAUUUUUACAAGGCAAACUGAACUACUGUAAUAUAAAACAAAACAAAUUACUUCUAAAUAUAUUGCAGUAUGCAUGACUGUGUUAUUAAGUCUGCAAGGGGCCUACCACAGUAACAUCAAAUUUUAGUGCAAAAUUGCUAUUUUCUAUAAAAAUCUUGUAUGAAUAAGGGCAAAUUUUUACAGAAUGCCAUACAUUCGUCUGAACUUAUCCAGUAGUAAAACCCAAAACAUGGUCAUAGGUAGUCUUUCAGUGAAUAGUAUGGACCUUUCUUAUUGUCGGUUACAUCUCACUAAAAUAAUAUAGGGUUUGUUUAACUGGAACAAACUUUAUUUACACCAUUGUUAUCAUUAUAACAAGAAAGGUGGUAAAAUUUAGCUGAUACGGAGGAUUGAGGCCAAUAUUUAUAGAUCUAUAGCCAGCUAAACUUCUGUGAACACGGAGCGUUUUGGUCAGGGAAAAUUGGACUUUGGUCAGGGAAAAGUCAGGGAAUUUUAUUUUCUCUGCUUUGUGGGAACCCUGUAUUACACAAGGGCUACAUACUGGACCACAUUGUAUAUAAGCUUUCAGGGUUAAUAGGUUAUCCAUGCAACCAUAGAUCACAUUUAUUGUCGAGCCUGCUAGCGGUGAGCUUGACUUAGUCAUCACUUUUGAUGGGUUGGUGUAUGUGCGUGCGUCUGUGCAUCCAGCGUGGCGUGUGUCCUUUCUAUUUUGUCCAGACCUUAAAUUUAGUCUAUAUAUGGAAUGAAUGUUUACCUCUAUGAGGAGUGCCAUGCGCAAACCUCAUGUUCUUAUCUCAAAGGUCAAGGUAACAGUUGGAGGUCAAAGGUCAAAUUGAAGUCUGUCCAGACUAUUACUUGGACAUGCAUGGACCAAUCUUGUUUAUAUUUUGCAUGCAUAUUUACCUGCAAUGAAGAGUGUCAUGUGCAAACCACAUGUUCUUAUCUAAAAGGCCAAGGUCACGGUUAGAGGUUAAAGGUCAACUUGAAGAUUGUUCGGAGCAUUUCUUCUUCAUGCAUGGUGGGAUUUUGAUGUAACUUAGCAUGAAUGUUCGCAGAUGACACCUUAGGAUUUUGAGAUCAGUAGGUCACAGGUCAAGGUCAUAGUGACGUGGAACAUUUAAAAUGGUUUUCAGACAAUAACUUCAGAAUACUUUGAACUAGGAUAACGAAACUUCAUAGUGAGUUUGGUCAUGUCCAGUAGAUGACCCGUAUUAAUUUUGAGUUCCAAAGAUCAAAGGUCAGAGUGACCCAGAACAUUUAAACAUUUUCCGGACAGUAACUUGAGAACGUUUGGCCCGAGGGUCAUGAAACUGAAAAGGGAGGUUGAUCAUGACCAGCAGAUGACCUGUACUGAUUUUGAGGUCAGUAGGUCAAAGGUCAAGCAAGUUCGGCUUUAACAUUGGCUUAGUUCUGUGACAUAGAGGAUAUUACGUGAGUGUCUUUCAAUAUUGAAUUUAUUAAAUGAGUUGAAUAAAAUAAUAAGAUACGAGGCUCUGCUGAGCAUUUUAUCAAUUUUAUUCAACGAGUUUAAUAAAUUCAGUGUGGAAAGUCACAAAUAUAAUAUUCUUUUUAUCACAUGUUAGCCUUUCCUGUUGAAACAUUAAAAUUUCUACAUUCUUUUCCUAUAUAAAAAAUCAAUUUGACCUCCUAUACUAUAAAUGACGUCGACAUCAAAGCUUUAUUACACUAGUGUAUUAUCAUUUUUUUUUAAUGGCUUUAUUACACUCCCGCGACGUCAAACAUGUGAUAAAAGGUUAUAUUGUGGGGGUAUAAUUCGUCACUCCUGUGAAAACUCUAGUUUUUGUGAUAGCUCAAUGUCUGGCGUCUGUCGUCUGCCUGUCAACAUUUAGCUUGUGUAUGCGAUUUUGUCAGAAUGAUAACCUUGAUGAAAUCUAAGCCAAGUUUGAAAAUGGGUCAUCUCGGGUCAAAAACUAGGUCACUAGGUCAAAUCAAAGGAAUACUUGUGUAUGCAAUAGAGGCUUUAUUUUUUCAAUUGGUCUUCAGAAAAUUUGGUCAGAAUGAUAACCUUGAUGAAAUCUAGGCCAAGUUUGAAAAUGGGUCAUCUGGUUUUAAAAACUAGGUUACUAAAUCAAAUCAAAGAAAAAACUUGUGUAUGUGAUAGACGCUGUAUUUUUCAACUGAUCUUCAUGAAAUUUUGUCAGAAUUAUAACCUUGAAGAAAUCUAGGCAAAGUUUGAAAUGGGUCAUCUAGGGUCAAAAACUAGGUCACUAGGUCAUAUCUAAGAAAAUACUUGUUUAAAAUCAAGACACCACAUCUUUGGUUCAAUCUUAAUGAAAAUUGGCCAGAAUAUUUGUUUCCAUGAAAUCACUAGGUCAAAAUUUUUUACUCUGUUAUGGUGUGUUUCUUGGCACUCUUGUUUACUUUUGCUUUUAAGAAUUCUGAAUUUGCUGUAUGUCAAAUUUAACAUGUCUAUUAGAAAUUCUGUUAUUGUAGAGAUAACACAUUUUCUUUUGUGUUAUAACACCUGCAGAAUCUGAAGGAUUUGGUUGGUACCGGAGUCUGUUGGUGCCAAGGAUUCACGUGGGAUUCUGAUGAUGUUAUAGCACGAAAAGAAAUGCGCGAAUGCUAUUCUAGCAUAAAACGCGUAAAAACUAAGUAAAUGAAUUUCUUGCAUACCGGACUGGGAUUUCUGGUGAUUUCACCAGCGCUUGAAAACUCCCAUCUUACACCCCGGGUAUGAGAUGACUCUCAUGUUGUAAAUGACGUAUAACGAACUACAUAUGUACAGAAGAUGUGUGUAGUAAUAAUAAUGUUUUACGUAAAACAAGAUAAAAAUCAAAUACUUGAUAUUUUCUCUUUGUUCCUUACAACAUAUUCUUGAUUCAAACAACGUCAUUUAACGGAAAUAACAUAACCUUUCACUGCAGGUGACAAAACAAAAACGGAACUAUUACUUCGUUUUCAUCUUUGUAACAUCAUGACGUACUUCCUGUUGACAGACGUAAAGUUCCUGCGCUUUUUCAAUACACUACUAAAAGAAAAAAGUGCUAUAAGAAAAUCAUUUGUUUGAAUUUAUUUAUGUUCACCUGUCACAUAGUGACAAGGUGAGCUUUUGUGAUCACGCUUCGUCCGUCGUCAGUCUAUGCGUGCGUCCAUCCGUCUGAAAGGUGCAGAAUUAGCUAUUUUGACCUUGUCUGCACAAUAGCAGCUUCAUUUAUGUUUUGAUUUUAACAAGACUUGCACACUACUUGUAUCACCAUAAUAUCGCGAUUCCAUUUUAUACGCCGUCUCAAAGGGACAUUUAUGUUAUCGCCUCGGUGUCCGUCUGUAUGUCUGUUGGUUAGCAAUUUCCCUUCCGCUCUGUAACUCCUGAACCCCUUGAAGGAUUUCAAAGAAACCUGACACAAAUGUUCACCUCAUCGAAUCAACGUACAGAGCGCACGUUUCGGAUGGCUCACUUCAAGGUCAAGGUCAUCCUUGGAGGUCAUAUGACUUUGUUUUGUGUGUAUAUUGCUCUGCAUUUGCGUUGCAUUGCAGUGCUCUUGUUUUUAUUUGGCAGAUCCUUCUUUUGUUCGCUUACAAUAAUUUUUAUCUGUACCUUGUAAGAUUUUUUUUUCUUUUUGGUUAAAUUUCUUCCCUUUGUUGUUCCUGUCCUUUGGACUUUAUCAGUCAAAAUUUGGACUUAAUUAUUUUUUCUGAGGAUUUUUCAGUUUCUUCCCUUUGUUGUUCCUGUCCUUUGGGCUUCAUCAGUCAAAAUUUUGCAUGAUACUCAGGUGAGCAAUAUAGGGCCAUCAUGGCCCUCUUGUUUACUAUUAGGGAUUGAAGAUGUUGUGCAAGAAAACGAUUCUUUCACUGGCUGUAGAUGCAGAUGGGAAUAUCCGGCUCUCGGGUAACUGUUUAUGCCGAAACUCGGCAGGAGCCUUGUUACUGCUUAAACCGUUACACUUGAGACUGGAAAUUUCCAUCUGCACCUACGACCAGUGAAAGUAUUUUAUAAUAUUGUCCCUCAACGUGAUGAAAUGUGUGGUAAAGUCUACGUUGUUUUUUCAUGUUAACGUCAUUUCCUUUUGAAUUGUCCUUUUUAGGGCCGUAAUACGUUUAUGUUUUGCCACGGAACGCACGUAGAUAUAAAAAGGUUGCGCGAUAAUCUCUCUGUUAAUAUACGUUUUCUCUCUUGUUAAAACAUCCCCCAAAAAGUGACAAUAACAGCAGUUUUAUGCUAGAAUCUAUUUAAAUGUCUUUCAAAUCUUUGUCAUUUGUAAAAUUAUGUUACAUUGUUAUACAAUAUAAUGUGUGCUAUUUGCAAAAUAAAUAGAAAUGAUAAUAAAAGGCUAUAACUCUUGCA